rnacentral:rRNA from 1 species
GAUGAACGCUGGCGGCGUGCCUAAUACAUGCAAGUCGAGCGAACAGAUGAGGAGCUUGCUCCUCUGACGUUAGCGGCGGACGGGUGAGUAACACGUGGAUAACCUACCUAUAAGACUGGGAUAACUUCGGGAAACCGGAGCUAAUACCGGAUAAUAUAUUGAACCGCAUGGUUCAAUAGUGAAAGACGGUUUUGCUGUCACUUAUAGAUGGAUCCGCGCCGCAUUAGCUAGUUGGUAAGGUAACGGCUUACCAAGGCAACGAUGCGUAGCCGACCUGAGAGGGUGAUCGGCCACACUGGAGGUGAGACACGGUCCAGACUCCUACGGGAGGCAGCAGUAGGGAAUCUUCCGCAAUGGGCGGAAGCCUGACGGAGCAACGCCGCGUGAGUGAUGAAGGUCUUCGGUUCGUAAAACUCUGUUAUUAGGGAAGAACAAAUGUGUAAGUAACUAUGCACGUCUUGACGGUACCUAAUCAGAAAGCCACGGCUAACUACGUG